CCACUACGGUGGAGUAGGUGAAGGAGCGCUCGGUUAUCUACUCAUCGAGUCUUAAUUGCUGAAUUUUGUCGACUAAUCUGGCCUCGUCAGAUAUCCGGUAGGUUUCUUCUAAAGGCAUGGCAAAUCCCACAACAACGCAAUAGCUUAACUCGAAGAGUGCCAUUUAAACGCACUUUUAUUAGAGCUCAUCAGUUGGACUGGCAGUGGGGUGUCCAGCAGCAAACAUGGCCGGGGAAGCUGUAGUCACCGUUCGUCUAGUGAGGUCCUUCGAGCACAGAAAUUUCAAACCUGUGGUGUUUCACGGAGUCAGUUUAGACCAAACGGUGCAGGACUUCAUAAAGCUUGUCAGGGACGAUAUUGCAACAAGACCAGGGCUUCCUCCUCCUUUCAGGAAAUAUGCGUAUGACUAAUGAACUGGUGAUGAGUUUAGAUGACGACGAUAAGCUCAUUUUGCAAGAUGGCCAAACCCUUAGAACUGCAGGCGUUGCAAAUGAAACAGAAGUGGCCUUCUUCAGGAAAGAAGAUUAUGGUCUCUAUAAAGCAAAUCCAAAAACUGCUUGGUGACCAAUAGCACAGAAGAUUCUUGCAGAGCAGAGUUCAAAGUCAAGCAUGCCAGGACCAGUAGACAAGAUUGGUGCCAUCAUGUUAAUUCUGAAGAGUUUUAAUUUGAAGGGUUGUUUUUAAAUUAAUGCUCAUCAUGCACCACACUGGUAUGCCUUUUUAUUUCUAUUUUUUCUGUUCUGGUAAUUGUGACCGCACACAUUAAUUCUCUUUAUUGUUUUAAAAUAUGCUGAAUAAAGUUUUCUGAUAGCUGGA